UUAGUUGAUGUGGAUCUUCAUUGCAUGAAAGAUUUGAUGAAAAUAGAGGUUGAGAACUUGGUAAUUCGUUAUUAGGAAGCCAAAAACAUUUGCGUUUGGGAUUGAAGAUACAUUUAAAUAGUAUGAAAACCCGAAUUUUCGCAUGUAUAUCUGUUGUCUGGCGCAAGGUUGCACCCUCAACUAGUAAUCAACGGUAUUACGCCUGAACUGGCCAAAGGUUGCGCCAGAACUAGCACAAGGUUGUGCCAAACUAGCAACACCUUCCGAUGGUCAGUGGUUUCUUUCCCCUUUUCACGUUUUUCAACUUCCGUCUUGCAUGUAAAUAUGGUAGGGUCCUAGAGGAGGUUUAUGCAUCUUUUAUCGAGUCUCUUCCAUUUAGAAGCAUGGUUAUAUUCACAGUAUUUCAAGUUGUCUAUUUCUUGGUGUGUUACGGUAUGACGUUGAUUCUGGUGGCUGGAAUUCUAUUUACUAUGUCAUUUUUUUCUUCUCAUAAGCAUAAGACAACAUAUUCUACCAAAAUUGUUCCAAUUGCACCAUUUGAGAGAACUUAAUGCAGCCGGGUAUUAAGAAAUCGCGGGCAAUCCAACACGUGCUCCCAACUUCAGCCUUAGAGAAAUGGAUAGCACUCUUGGUGGGAGCAAUGAAGGUGACGUGUCAAUUUGUGAUGCCGAAAUAUUAAAUGAACUGGCCACAAGUAGAGGGGAGCUCAAGGUUCGAAAUCUUUCAACUUAUUUAAUGACUCUAGAUUUUAAGGUGACGGCGUGCUCAUUUAUGUUCUUGCAGCAAAUUUACCACGAUGACUAUAUCUAGCCUGAGUGAAAGACAAAGACACUACUCAAGAGUUGGUCCAAAGGCCCAGUGAAACACUACGAAAAAAAAAAACCCUGAAGUUUUCUUGUUUUGGGGUCGAAAUGACCAGAUUAAUGCGAAACACGCUCAUGUAUAAUUGGGCAAAAUGUUAGGGAUGUCGAUUGUUGGAUGUGAAAUAUAUUGAAUCGUUAUCUGCAGAAUAACUUAGAAAUCA